AUGUUCAGUGGGAUGAUGAGACAAACACCUGUUUGUUUGCACAGUCUGUAUAAUCUGUACCGUUUUUGCAGAUGGUGCCCUUGCACAGUUCUUUGAGGAGGUGGUGGUGGUUCAUCAUUUGGACACAUCAGGUUUGAACUAUUCAGUGGCCAUCACCAACUGUAAAAUGCCAUAAAUGGAACAAUAUCCUGAGAGGAGCUGCACAGAACCCUUCAGAUGAACCAACUGGCAC